rnacentral:tRNA from 1 species
GCCCUUGUAGGCCAAUUGGACAGGCCAGCGGUUUCCUAAACCGCAAGUUGGAGGUUCGAAUCCUUCCAGGGGUA